GAUGAACGCUGGCGGCGUGCUUAACACAUGCAAGUCGAACGAAGCACUUUAUUUGAUUUCCUUCGGGACUGAUUAUUUUGUGACUGAGUGGCGGACGGGUGAGCAACGCGUGGGUAACCUGCCUUGUACAGGGGGAUAACAGUUGGAAACGGCUGCUAAUACCGCAUAAGCGCACAGCAUCGCAUGAUGCAGUGUGAAAAACUCCGGUGGUAUAAGAUGGACCCGCGUUGGAUUAGCUAGUUGGUGAGGUAACGGCCCACCAAGGCGACGAUCCAUAGCCGACCUGAGAGGGUGACCGGCCACAUUGGGACUGAGACACGGCCCAAACUCCUACGGGAGGCAGCAGUGGGGAAUAUUGCACAAUGGGCGAAAGCCUGAUGCAGCGACGCCGCGUGAGCGAAGAAGUAUUUCGGUAUGUAAAGCUCUAUCAGCAGGGAAGAUAAUGACGGUACCUGACUAAGAAGCACCGGCCAAAUACGUG
rnacentral:rRNA from 1 species